AAUGUUUGGUUCUUGCAUCUACAGCCAUAUAGCUUUUCUGCCUCUUUUGGGGAAGACUUCCUUGCUCUACUCAUUUAAAUGCUUCUGCCUUUAUGACUAUUUUAUUGCCAUACCUAUGGGGCUUCUUACUGUAUUUGCCUGUAACCGAAGGAGAUUUUAAAGGAAUUAAAUUUAUUCAGACUAAAUCUUCUGGGGCAUGCAAAGGCAUCUUAAACAAUUAGCAAUAAUUAAAAAGCAUCUAUUCAGACUGGAUAAAAGGUUGUAUUCCUCUCCCGGCUGGCACGGACGAUUGUGGUGCACGCUUCCUGCCAUCCUGCUCUGUGGUCCGCUGCUUGCGCUCACUUCCGUCCCUCACCUGACUCACGUCAGACAGACCGUCAAGAUGCAGCAGGGCUGCCGGGAGAACUUCCGGUCUGGUGCCUCAGCUGAGAAGACCAGAAUGCUGCGAAGAGACUGGCAUCUCUGUCUCUUCAGGAGGCCACUCCACUUGAUUACUAUGGCAGCAAAACCAACAUAGAGAGAAAGUGGACCGCCUGUAUCAGAAAUGUGGUGCCUCACAAUCAUGGGGUUCUCCUUGAAAACACCAGCACGCAUUUUCCUAUCUCACUUGGAAUACUCUU
rnacentral:lncRNA from 1 species